AACUGUUGCUUGGCUCCGCUGUAGCUUAACUAGCUCCGUUUAUUAGCGGUGUUCCUGAAGUUCUCCGUCUACAUUUUGUGAACUUUGAACUCGGUGAAGCUCAUGUCCAGCUCGGUUUUCCUCCCAGGAAUUCAGGUAAAAACCAAAAAGAACUAAAAUAUUUUCCUUCAACGAAGACGGAGCCGCUCGAAUUUCUGUUGCUUCCUCUUUGUUUCUUUCUGCCUCGUGUAAGUUUCUGUACCGUCUCCAUGGCAACGCCAGGACUCCCGCUUAGUUACAAGAUGGAAGCCAACAGAGAGGCGGUUUGUUUUAUUUUUUAAAAUGAAUAUUAGGACGUUAUAAUGAUUCUGAAUCAAUCUUUUGGCACACUGCUGGUAAAAACAAUCCAUUCUGAAGAAAUGCAGAGAGCAUUUUAUCAAACUGCUGCUUUAUGCUCAGUUUUCCAUGAAGCAUCUCUGUGUGUGUGUAUGUGUGUGUUACUCAGCACACACACACACUGGGCACAGAGACACACCCAGACUUCACUAAUCUGCCACUUAAAUCUCAGGAAGCUUUAAAGCUUUAUCCAGCUGCUUCCUGUUUCUCUCAGUCUGGCCUCAAAUCUUUCGCUUCUGUUUUUGGUGAUGAAGAUGCUUUUUUUUAAAUCGGUUCAGUCCUUCGCUUUCCUUCACAGUCAUCUCACAGCUGAACCCAACAGAACCUGAGCGUUACUGGAACUCUGAACACUUUAUUAGGUACACCUACCGGGAAUCGAGCUGGAAACUUGACUUAUUCGUACUGGAUGUUGAAUCAAACUGAAAUGCUUUGGCCCAGUUCGCCAUGGCAGCAUCCAAACAGUGCGA